AUUGAACGCUGGCGGCAGGCUUUACACAUGCAAGUCGAGCGAGUGGCGGACGGGUGAGUAAUAUAUGGGAACGUGCCCAAUAGAGGGGGAUAACUACUGGAAACAGGGCUAAUACCGCCUACCAUUGGCGCAGCCGAUAUCGGAUUAGCUAGUUGGUGGGGUAAUGGCUCACCAAGGCAACGAUCCGUAGCUGGUCUGAGAGGAUGACCAGCCACACUGGGACUGAGACACGGCCCAGACUCCUACGGGAGGCAGCAGUGGGGAAUUUUGGACAAUGGGGGAAAGCCUGAUCCAGCCAUGCCGCGUGUAUGAAGAAGGCCUUCGGGUUGUAAAGUACUUUUGGCAGGGAAGCGGUACCUGCAGAAGAAGCACCGGCUAACUACGUGCCAGCAGCCGCGGUAAUAC
rnacentral:rRNA from 1 species